CUUUGCUGUGGGCUGGGAGGCGAGUUUUGGAUGACAAGCUUGUAUUUGCAAAAGUACACACCCUGUGGGAGGUGCUCUGCACAUACGUUGAGAUACUGCACAUAAAAUUGCCUCUGAAGCCCAAUGAUCUGAAAACCCGGUCCUCAGCCUUUGAUAAUUUCAGCUGUUAUCUGAAAGUCCCCCAAGUGGAUGAAAGUAUCAUCAAGCUGGAGCAAGAGUUUUUCAUUUCCCUAUUUGAGAAGAGCUGCGUGAAUGACUUUUAUAUUCAGGAUAGAGAUACAUUCUUCAAUCCAGCCACCAGAAGCUGCAUUUGCAACUUCAGCCUCCAUCAGAGGACCUCAGCUGCCCCAGCAAACUGGGCCUUCUCUACAGGGAAUGGGCUCCUCCUCAAAGCAUAGACAAGAAGCAGCCCUUAGAUCUCAUCAGGUGAGCUGUUGUAGAGAGCACUCCAGUGGGAAGGGCUCAGGGUUGCCCUCAUGGCAUCUGAGUGUGACAGUCCUCCAAGAGUGUUACCAACCAGGAAGCUCACAGGAGCUCUGAGCUUUAUUGCCCCAAGUCUUUUCUGGAGGCUUUAUUACAAAGACAUGAUUUAUUGGGUCACUACCGACAUGGCUAACCCAAACCCUAACUGUAACUCAAACCUUUCCUUAGCCCUAACCAUUGAGCCCAUUCCUCUCCUGGUGGUCACUCAUUUGUCACAAAGCUCAA